rnacentral:pre_miRNA from 1 species
UUUUGAGCAUAAGUGCGUUCCAUGCAAUGUUUAGGAUGUACUUAUACUAAAA